GAAGGUAUAGCUCAAGUGGUUGUGUGCGUGCCUAGCAAGCACGAGGUGCUGGGUUCAAUCCCCGGUACCUCCU
rnacentral:tRNA from 1 species